rnacentral:rRNA from 1 species
UGCAUAUCCAAAAAGCGGAGUUAAAGAAACCAACAGGGAUUGCCUUAGUAGCGGCGAGUGAAGCGGCAAAAGCUCAAAUUUGAAAUCUGGCUCUUUCAGAGUCCGAGUUGUAAUUUGAAGAAGGUAUCUUUGGGUCUGGCUCUUGUCUAUGUUUCUUGGAACAGAACGUCACAGAGGGUGAGAAUCCCGUGCGAUGAGAUGAUCCAGGCCUAUGUAAAGUUCCUUCGAAGAGUCGAGUUGUUUGGGAAUGCAGCUCUAAGUGGGUGGUAAAUUCCAUCUAAAGCUAAAUAUUGGCGAGAGACCGAUAGCGAACAAGUACAGUGAUGGAAAGAUGAAAAGAACUUUGAAAAGAGAGUGAAAAAGUACGUGAAAUUGUUGAAAGGGAAGGGCUUGAGAUCAGACUUGGUAUUUUGUAUGUUACUUCUUCGGGGGUGGCCUCUACAGUUUAUCGGGCCAGCAUCAGUUUGGGCGGUAGGAGAAUUGCGUUGGAAUGUGGCACGGCUUCGGUUGUGUGUUAUAGCCUUCGUCGAUACUGCCAGCCUAGACUGAGGACUGCGGUUUAUACCUAGGAUGUUGGCAUAAUGAUCUUAAGUCGCCCGUCUUGAAACCACGGACCCA